GCAAAAAAUUGCAAUUUGUGGGCCAGUUGGGGCUGGAAAAUCAUCACUAUUGUAUGCCAUACUUGGGGAGAUGCCUAAAAUUUCAGGAACAGUUAGUUACAAAAUAAACACAACUACUAUACUUACUAAUGCAUUUGUUUGCAUCUCCUAGUUAAUGCAUGUCUUUUAUACUUGCUAUCAGGUUAAUGUAUUUGGAUCCAUUGCCUAUGUUUCU
rnacentral:misc_RNA from 1 species